GACGAACGCUGGCGGCGUGCUUAACACAUGCAAGUCGAACGGAAAGGCCCUGCUUUUGUGGGGUGCUCGAGUGGCGAACGGGUGAGUAACACGUGAGUAACCUGCCCUUGACUUUGGGAUAACUUCAGGAAACUGGGGCUAAUACCGGAUAGGAGCUCCUGCUGCACGGUGGGGGUUGGAAAGAUUCGGCGGUUGGGGAUGGACUCGCGGCUUAUCAGCUUGUUGGUGGGGUAGUGGCUUACCAAGGCUUUGACGGGUAGCCGGCCUGAGAGGGUGACCGGCCACAUUGGGACUGAGAUACGGCCCAGACUCCUACGGGAGGCAGCAGUCGGGAAUAUUGCACAGUGGGCGGAAGCCUGAUGCAGCAACGCCGCGUGCGGGAUGACGGCCUUCGGGUUGUAAACCGCUUUCGCCUGUGACGAAGCGUGCGUGACGGUAAUGGGUAAAGAAGCACCGGCUAACUACGUG
rnacentral:rRNA from 1 species